rnacentral:rRNA from 1 species
GACGAACGCUGGCGGCGUGCUUAACACUUGCAAGUCGAACGGAAGGGCCCUGCUUUUGUGGGGUGCUCGAGUGGCGAACGGGUGAGUAACACGUGAGUAACCUGCCCUGGACUUUGGGAUAACUUCAGGAAACUGUGGCUAAUACCGGAUAGGAGCUCCUGCUGCAUGGUGGGGGUUGGAAAGUUUCGGCGGGUGGGGAUGGACGCGCGGCUAAUCAGCUUGUUGGUGGGGUAGUGGCUUACCAAGGCUUUGACGGGCAGCCGGCCUGAGAGGGUGACCGGACACAUUGGGACUGAGCUACGGCCCAGACUCAUCCGGGAGGCAGCAGUGGGGAAUAUUGCACAAUGGGCGGAAGCCUGAUGCAGCAACGCCGCGUGCGGGAUGACGGCCUUCGGGUUGUAACCCGCUUUCGCCUGUGACGAAGCGUGAGUGACGGUAAUGGGUAAAGAAGCACCGGCUAACUACGUG